GACCGCGUAGCUCAGUUGGAAGAGCAUUGGGCUAGUAUUCCAAAGGUCGUAGGUUCGAAUCCCACAGUGGCCG